rnacentral:rRNA from 1 species
CGGGAUUGCCUUAGUAACGGCGAGUGAAGCGGCAAAAGCUCAAAUUUGAAAUCUGGUACCUUCGGUGCCCGAGUUGUAAUUUGGAGAGGGCAACUUUGGGGCCGUUCCUUGUCUAUGUUCCUUGGAACAGGACGUCAUAGAGGGUGAGAAUCCCGUGUGGCGAGGAGUGCGGUUCUUUGUAAAGUGCCUUCGAAGAGUCGAGUUGUUUGGGAAUGCAGCUCUAAGUGGGUGGUAAAUUCCAUCUAAAGCUAAAUAUUGGCGAGAGACCGAUAGCGAACAAGUACAGUGAUGGAAAGAUGAAAAGAACUUUGAAAAGAGAGUGAAAAAGUACGUGAAAUUGUUGAAAGGGAAGGGCAUUUGAUCAGACAUGGUGUUUUGUGCCCUCUGCUCCUUGUGGGUAGGGGAAUCUCGCAUUUCACUGGGCCAGCAUCAGUUUUGGUGGCAGGAUAAAUCCAUAGGAAUGUAGCUUGCCUCGGUAAGUAUUAUAGCCUGUGGGAAUACUGCCAGCUGGGACUGAGGACUGCGACGUAAGUCAAGGAUGCUGGCAUAAU